CACAAGCUUGGUCCUGACUUUACUGUCAGCUUUGAUUAAAUUUAUACAUGCGAGUAUCUGCGACCCUGUGAGAAUGCCCUACCCGUUCCCUUUUAAGGGAAAAAGGAGCCGGUAUCAGGCACAACCCUGCGUUUGCCCACAACACCUUGCUUAGCCACACCCCCAAGGGACCCCAGCAGUAAUACACAUUAAGCCAUAAGUGUAAACUUGACUUAGUUAAGAUCAAACAGGGCCGGUUAAACUCGUGCCAGCCACCGCGGUUAUACGAGAGGCCCAAGUUGACAGAAGCCGGCGUAAAGGGUGGUUAAUAGCACAAACACUAAGGCCGAACAUCUUCAAGGCUGUCAUACGCACCCGAAGACAGGAAGAACUUACACGAAAGUAGCCUUAACAUACUAUGAAGCCACGAAAGCUAGGAAACAAACUGGGAUUAGAUACCCCACUAUGCCUAGCCCUAAACACAAAUACUCCUUUACAAUGUAUUCGCCAGGGAACAACGAGCCCCAGCUUAAAACCCAAAGGACUUGGCGGUGCUUUAGACCCCCCUAGAGGAGCCUGUUCUAGAACCGAUACCCCCCGUUCAACCUCACCCUCUCUUGUUUAACCCGCCUAUAUACCGCCGUCGUCAGCUUACCCUGUGAAGGCUAAAUAGUAAGCAAAAUUGGCACAACCCAAAACGUCAGGUCGAGGUGUAGCGCACGGGAGGGGAAGAAAUGGGCUACAUUUACUGUUACAGUAAAUACGGACUUUGCACUGAAAUAAGCAUCUGAAGGAGGAUUUAGCAGUAAGAGAGGAAUAGAGCGCCCCUCUGAAACCGGCCCUGAAGCGCGCACACACCGCCCGUCACUCUCCCCGACCACUGCAACUAAUAAAUAAUAUACCUAGACUUAUUAAUAAGGGGAGGCAAGUCGUAACAUGGUAAGUGUACCGGAAGGUGCGCUUGGAAAAACC
rnacentral:ncRNA from 1 species